rnacentral:rRNA from 1 species
CCCUUAGAUGUUCUGGGCCGCACGCGUGCUACACUGAGUGGAUCAGCGGGUCAGGUUACGCGAGAGCGUUUCCUAAUGUUCAAAUCCGCUCGUGAUGGGGAUUGACGGUUGCAAUUUUCCGUCAUGAACGAGGAAUACCUUGUAAGCGCGGGUCAUCAUCCCGCGCUGAAUACGUCCCUGCCCUUUGUACACACCGCCCGUCGCUCCUACCGAUUGAGUGGUCCGGUGAGGCUUUGGGAUCUAAGCGAAAAGAGCGUUUCGCUCCUUUUGCUGGGAGAACUCAGUCGAACCUUAUCAUUUAGAGGAAGGAGAAGUCGUAACA